CAUACGAAAACUAACGGGAUGUCACCCUCUGGCCCAAAGUUUGAAUCAGUUACUCUGUAAGAAUGAAAUCUUAUCAAGGACUCAAAAGAUUGCAGUGGUUGAAGGCUUGUACACUCUCUUUAGAGAGAUUCUGCCAAAGCUUGGAACAAACUACGGGGAUAAGAUCAUUGAGGACCUUGAUGUCUUUGAGUACUCAACAUACUGCUGGGCAUAUCUCUUGUCAGAAGCAAAGGAAACUGAUGUUUGCUUACUGCAACCUAAUGUUAAG